rnacentral:rRNA from 1 species
UGCCAGCCGCCGCGGUAACACGAACUGCGCGAACGUUAUUCGGAAUCACUGGGCGUAAAGCGCACGCAGGCGGAUUAGUAAGUUAGGGGUGAAAUCCCGGGGCUCAACCCCGGAACUGCCUCUAAUACUGCUAGUCUUGAGUUCGAGAGAGGUGAGUGGAAUUCCGAGUGUAGAGGUGAAAUUCGUAGAUAUUCGGAGGAACACCAGUGGCGAAGGCGGCUCACUGGCUCGAUACUGACGCUGAGGUGCGCAAGCGUGGGGCGCAAACAGGAUUAGAUA